rnacentral:lncRNA from 1 species
UUUGGUAGCAAAGGGAGUAAUAAGGGCACCAAUAUAGAUGAAUGGAGAUGGAUGAUGAAAAUCUCCAUUCUUAUUGGUCAAAAAUCAUGACCAAUGGACUUUGAGGAGGCUGCCCCAGGCCAUAUUAGGGAUUAGGAUUAGUUUUUUGGGGCAUUUGAGCUUUGAAGGCUAGGAUCAAUAAGUUUAGUUUUUUUGCUAUGAUUUUGGUAUAAAACUUAUAUGAUUUGGAGUUUAUAUGAAGGAGAUAUAGGCGCUCAAAGUUAAGGUGUUGAUUUGGGAGCUAUUGUCACUCUUUUUGACAUAACGCACGCAUACAAAGGACAAUUGAGGAUCGAUGACUGCGACUAGAGAAAGCAGUUUUGCGGCUAUACUUUUUGCUUAUUGCUUGCUGGAUUCCAAGUUGGAAUGAAGGAGUUAUUAGAUUUUGAAGUCAGCAUAUGCAAUCUAAUGGUAGUAAGUGACCCGAUUUACUAGUGGUUGUGUCUUGAGCUAUAUCUUGAGCAAUUUGAUAAGAUUUUAACUCAAAAUUUCAGGAAAUGUGUAAAUUCAUGUUAAUAAACUUUUCACAUAAGUUUGAUGACAUUUGAAUAUUGGAUUCUUAAGAUAUUAAGAAAAUAAAGCUCGGAUUCUUGUAAAUUAGGGUUUAAAGUAUUUACUAUGGUUUCUU